CCCUACGGGACGCAGCAGUAGGGAAUCUUCCACAAAGGGCGAAAGCCUGAUGGAGCAACGCCGCGUGGGUGAAGAAGGUCUUCGGAUCGUAAAACCCUGUUGUUAGAGAAGAAAGUGCGUGAGAGUAACUGUUCACGUUUCGACGGUAUCUAACCAGAAAGCCACGGCUAACUACGUGCCAGCAGCCGCGGUAAUACGUAGGUGGCAAGCGUUAUCCGGAUUUAUUGGGCGUAAAGGGAACGCAGGCGGUCUUUUAAGUCUGAUGUGAAAGCCUUCGGCUGAACCGGAGUAGUGCAUUGGAAACU
rnacentral:rRNA from 1 species